rnacentral:rRNA from 1 species
AUUGAACGCUGGCGGCAGGCCUAACACAUGCAAGUCGAGCGGAUGAAGGGUGCUUUCUCCUGGAUUCAGCGGCGGACGGGUGUGUAAUUCCUAUGAAUCUCCCUUGUAUUGGGUGAUAACGUCCUGUAACGGGCGCUAAUACCGCAUACGUCCUGAGUGUGAUACUUGGUGUUCUUCGGACCUCACGCUAUCUUCUGUGCCUAGUUCGUAUUUGCUAGUUGGUUGGGUAAAGGCCUACCAAGGCGACGAUCCGUAACUGGUCUGAGAGGAUGAUCAGUCAAACUGGAACUGAGACACGGACAAGACUACUAAGGGAGGCAGCAGAGGGGAAUAUUGGACAAUGGGGGAAAGGAUGAAAAAGAAAAGCCGAGGGUGAGAAGAAGGUCUUAGGAUUGUAAAGAACGUUAAGUAGGGAGGAAGGGAAGUAAGUUAAAAAGUAGAUGUAGUGACGGUAACAAAAGAAUAAGCACCGGCUAACUACGUG